rfam:Schistosoma mansoni, Puerto Rico, WGS project CABG01000000 data, contig: 0071
GCCUGGCUAGCUCAGUCGGUAGAGCAUGAGACUCUUAAUCUCAGGGUCGUAGGUUCGAGUCUCACGUAUGGCG